CAAAGUGGAGAAAAUGGUUCAGAUAAGCUAUUGCUGCCUCUGCUCAUAUCAUUUGUGUUUUAUUUCUUUUCUUUUUUUUCCUGUAACUU
rnacentral:ribozyme from 1 species